GGGGCAGUUUCAGUUUCGAUUGCGGCGGGGAGAUGACGUAAGCAUACCAAAGGCUCGGCUUUGUAAAAACGGAAAAUUAAAUUUAAACGCAGAUAAAAAAUCUGAUAAAGUAAUGGCUUUCCCUGCUCGUCAGGCUAGCCUUGCUUGCGCAGCUUAACUUAUAAGUUGUCCGUCGUAGGCACUUUCUUCCGUUGAAGUGCAAACGGCGCUAAUUUAGGCGGAACUUUUACUUUCGGGUAUCUGCACGAAGUAGAAGAAUUUAAGCGGGUUGCCCGCGUACAUUGCCCGUUUACCGGCGUGUGCGCGGAAAGAUUAAUAGGUUAAACUAAGUAUGUAGAAAGCGCGUCCGAACGUCGUAAGACCGGGGUGCAAGUCCCCGCUGCUCCACCA
rnacentral:tmRNA from 1 species